UACGAAGGGGGCUAGCGUUGCUCGGAAUUACUGGGCGUAAAGGGCGCGUAGGCGGACAGUUUAGUCAGAGGUGAAAGCCCAGGGCUCAACCCAGGAACUGCGUCCGAUACUGGCAGGCUUGAAUCCGGGAGAGGGAUGCGGAAUUCCAGGUGUAGCGGUGAAAUGCGUAGAUAUCUGGAGGAACACCUGUGGCGAAGGCGGCCACCUGGUUGGAUACUGGACGCUGAGACGGCGAAAAGCGUGGGGAGCCAAACAGGG
rnacentral:rRNA from 1 species